UAGCUCGUAUUGUUAGUGUUUCCUUUCUCUGAAACUUCCACCCAUUGCUCCUUGUUCUGGCCGCCUAAGGACAAGCAGGACAAGUUUAAUCUUUCCCCAGCUGUUUUUUAAAUACUUAAAGACAGUCGUCAUGCAUUGCCUCCCCCUGCCUGCCCCCCCCAACCUCCAGUUUUCUCUUUUACAGGAUGAAUACCCCCAAUUCUUUCAACUGAUCCUUAGGUCCAUGAUCUCAAGAGUCCUUCAUCAUUCUGGUGGCUUUUCUCCAGGUCUUCUUCAACUUAUCCAAGGUCCUUCCUAAAACAUGGUGCCCAGUACUGAAAACUGCUCCAGACAGGAGUGGGGGAGGACACACCAAAAGUCAGGGAGUGCAGAAAGUAAGAGAGCAGGUUUUCAUCCUAGCCAGGUGCUAGAGUAUGGAAUGACUUCUCUGUAAAUCACAAUGUCCUUUCAUGAGUCACCACAGGGAAAAAAUAAAUUUAUCACCUUGCAGCCAAACUUUUGGUGAUGAGCCUUUCACCCUAUUCCAGCUUAAAUGACUCAAAAUUAAUAAUCAUUCAUGGAAUAUGGGCCAAAACAGAAACUGAAAUUAAUUUGGGAGAAAUGAUGAUUCUGAACUUUAUUUCACCUUUUCAUUGAUUCAAAAAAUAUUGAUCACAUGCAAAGUGUAGUAUGGGGCCCAGGGGAGAUAUAAAGAAAAAUAAGAUGGCUCUCUCACCCUCAUUAAUGAAGGAAAUAGCAAACUGCUCCAGGAUCUUUGCCAAGAAAACCCCAUGGACAGUAUGGUCCAUGGGAUCACAAAGAGUUGGACAUGACUGAACGAGUAAAGAACAAAAACUCACCUUCAAGGUCCUUACAAUAAUAAAGGUUCAGAAAUGGA